ACUUAAAUAGCUUAUUUAGAGUUUAAUAUUGAAGAUAUUAAGGAAAUAUUUAUAUUUUUAAGUA
rnacentral:tRNA from 1 species